rnacentral:rRNA from 1 species
UACAGAGGUCUCAAGCGUUGUUCGGAUUCAUUGGGCGUAAAGGGUGUGUAGGUGGCGCGCUAAGUCGGGUGUGAAAUUUCGGAGCUUAACUCCGAAACUGCAUUCGAUACUGGCGUGCUUGAGGACUGGAGAGGAGACUGGAAUUCUCGGUGUAGCAGUGAAAUGCGUAGAUAUCGAGAGGAACACCAGUGGCGAAGGCGAGUCUCUGGACAUUUCCUGACGCUGAGGCACGAAAGCCAGGGGAGCAAACGGG